UACGUAGGGUGCGAGCGUUGUCCGGAAUUACUGGGCGUAAAGAGUUCGUAGGCGGUUUGUCGCGUCGUUUGUGAAAACCAGCAGCUCAACUGCUGGCUUGCAGGCGAUACGGGCAGACUUGAGUACUGCAGGGGAGACUGGAAUUCCUGGUGUAGCGGUGAAAUGCGCAGAUAUCAGGAGGAACACCGGUGGCGAAGGCGGGUCUCUGGGCAGUAACUGACGCUGAGGAACGAAAGCGUGGGUAGCGAACAGG
rnacentral:rRNA from 1 species